UUGCUCAUCAUUGACGCUCUCGUAGUGUGAUUGCAUUGAGAUUUCGCAUUGUCCGAGAGUGAUGAUGACGAAGAAGAGCAUUGAGAGAAAGUGGGUGGUCAUUGCAGUGGCAGCAUAUUUGCUCAUCACGCUGGAUUUAUUGCCUUCGCAAACGAAUGCCUCAUUGCUUGCUACUCAGCAUGUUCCCGAUGCCCUUGGUGGAAGCGAAGAAGACAAGACAAAAUCCCCAAGGAAAGCUUUAGGGGGUGAGUUCAAACUCAAGGGGGCAAUUGGCCUUGAUUCCUACAUUGAUUUUGGAAAGAAGAAGAGGAGAACAGCAGUGAAGCCGCGGAACCUGAGGGUGACUCCCAUUGUGCCUCCACCCUCGCCACGUACGCCCUCGCCCUCACAUCAAUUUAGGCUCCAUCCAUGACAAUGGGGCCUCCCCUUUUCUAAUAACGUAGCCACCCAUAUCCACCGUAUCAUUUUCCUUUCUUUGCCCAUGAGAUGUCUACGCCAGGUCAUUUUCAAAGCUUGUUGAUCUCUAUUAGGUAUUUUAUGUUCCACUACUUCCAGAAGUAAAAGGCUGGCCUUGCGAAGCGGAUGACCAGUUGGCCCGUAAUAGAUGUAUAACAGUUGGACCUAUAGGUCAAUCUUACUCUAAAUGAUAUCAAUCUAAGGAAUUUGUGAGAGA